rnacentral:rRNA from 1 species
GAUGAACGCUGGCGGCGUGCCUAAUACAUGCAAGUCGAGCGAACAGACGAGGAGCUUGCUCCUCUGACGUUAGCGGCGGACGGGUGAGUAACACGUGGAUAACCUACCUAUAAGACUGGGAUAACUUCGGGAAACCGGAGCUAAUACCGGAUAAUAUAUUGAACCGCAUGGUUCAAUAGUGAAAGACGGUUUUGCUGUCACUUAUCGAUGGAUCCGCGCCGCAUUAGCUAGUUGGUAAGGUAACGGCUUACCAAGGCAACGAUGCGUAGCCGACCUGAGAGGGUGAUAGGCCACACUGGAACUGAGACACGGUCCAGACUCCUACGGGAGGCAGCAGUAGGGAAUCGUCCGCAAUGGGCGAAAGCUUGACGGAGCAACGCCGCGUGAGUGAUGAAGGUCUUCGGAUCGUAAAACUCUGUUAUUAGGGAAGAACAAAUGUGUAAGUAACUAUGCACGUCUUGACGGUACCUAAUCAGAAAGCCACGGCUAACUACGUG